CUGUUGAAAGAGCGUGUGUGUGUGUGUGUGUGUGUGUGUGUGUGUGUGUGUGUGUGUGUGUGUGUAGGGGUGGAAACAAUGAUAGAGAUUCUAAAUAAAUCCAAGAACUGUGAAGGGUUCAGUGAGAGGAGGACAGGCAGGGGCAUCUGGACAUGGGUGUGCAUGCACAGACCCGGUUGUAGCCGGGUGGCUGAUCAGCAGCACCUUGAAGACUUUACAGAGCGUUUCUGCCAUCUGCACCCAUCCUGGCCCCGCCCAGCCCUGUUUCCCCUCUUACUGCAGCUCAUCUUCCCCGACCUGGUGGAGGGGCUGGUGCUGGUGAACAUCGACCCCAAUGGCAAAGGCUGGAUAGACUGGGCUGCCACCAAGCUCUCCGGCCUAACUAGCACUUUACCCGACACAGUGCUCUCCCACCUCUUCAGCCAGGAGGAGCUGGUGAACAACACAGAGUUGGUGCAGAGCUACCGGCAGCAGAUUGGGAACGUGGUGAACCAGGCCAACCUGCAGCUCUUCUGGAACAUGUACAACAGCCGCAGAGACCUGGACAUUAACCGGCCUGGAACGGUGCCCAAUGCCAAGACGCUCCGCUGCCCUGUGAUGCU
rnacentral:sRNA from 1 species